rnacentral:rRNA from 1 species
GACAGAGGGGGCAAGCGUUGUUCGGAAUUACUGGGCGUAAAGGGCGCGUAGGCGGCCGCCUAAGUCAGACGUGAAAUCCCUCGGCUCAACCGGGGAACUGCGUCUGAUACUGGGUGGCUUGAAUCCGGGAGAGGGAUGCGGAAUUCCAGGUGUAGCGGUGAAAUGCGUAGAUAUCUGGAGGAACACCGGUGGCGAAGGCGGCAUCCUGGACCGGCAUUGACGCUGAGGCGCGAAAGCCAGGGGAGCAAACGGG